rnacentral:rRNA from 1 species
CCCUUAGAUGUUCUGGGCCGCACGCGCGCUACACUGACUGCUCCAACAAGUUACCUGGGCUGACAAGCAUCCGGGAAAUCUUGCAAAGGCAGUCGUGAUGGGGAUAGAUUCUUGUAAUUUUUGAUCUUCAACGAGGAAUUCCUAGUAAACGCAAGUCAUCAGCUUGCAUUGAUUACGUCCCUGCCCUUUGUACACACCGCCCGUCGCAUCUACCGAUUGAAUGGAGAGGCAAAAUCUUCGGACCGUGACGCUUGGGAGUCAAAUCUCGGGCUGUCGUGGGAAGUGGAUUAAACCUUUCUAUUUAGAGGAAGGUAAGGUCGUAACA